GUCUUUUUGAUAUUUAUUUAAGGUCAGGCCUGCCCAAUGAUUUUUAUUUAAUGGCUGCAGUAUUUUAACUGUACGAAGGUAGCAUAAUCAUUUGUUUAAUAAUUUUAGACUAGUAUGAAAGGUUUAAUAAGAGUUAAACUUUCUUAUUUAUAAAAAUAAGAAUUUAUUUUUUUAGUGAAAAAACUAGAAUUUUUUUAUAGGACGAGAAGACCCUAUAGAACUUUAAUAAAUAUUUUUAUUUAUAAAUAAAAAUAUUUAUUAAAUUGGGGUGAUUUAAAUUUUUAAUUAACAAUUUUUAUUUGUGUCAAUAAUUUUUGAUUUUUAUGAUCCAAUAUUUUUUUGAUUAUAAGAUUAAGUUACCUUAGGGAUAACAGCGUAAUUUAAUUGGAGAGUUCUUAUCGAUAAUUUAAGUUUGCGA
rnacentral:rRNA from 1 species